rnacentral:tmRNA from 1 species
GGGGCUGACUUGGAUUUCGACAGAUUUCUUGUCGCACAGAUAGCAUGCCAAGCGCUACUUGUAAAACAGCAACAAAAAUAACUGUAAACAACGCAGAUUACGCUCCAGCUUACGCUAAAGUUGCGUGAGUUAAUCUCCUUUUGGAGCUGGACUGAUUAGAAUUUCUAGCGUUUUAAUCACUCCAUAACCUUAAGCUAGACGCUUUUAAAAGGUGGUUCGCCUUUUAAACUAAGAAACAAGAACUCUUGAAACUACCUCAAGGUUUUAGAAAGUUGGACCAGAGCUAGUUUUAAGGCUAAAAACUAACCAAUUUUCUAAGCAUUGUAGAGGUUUGUGUUUAGGACAAGAUUUUUGGACUGGGGUUCGAUUCCCCACAGCUCCACCA